UUUCUCACAGUGGAAUGCAUGUGAAACAUAAGUGGAGGCAGCACAGUUGUCGGGACAUGGAACGUGGAAGUCAAAAGUGAAUGCACAUGCUCCAGGAACCACUCAUGAAUGCAUCCAGCUGAAAAGAAUAUAAUUUGCUCAGUAGGAGAGAGGAGACCACUCACACCCCCAGGAAUACCAGUGAAGAGAGAGGAAUUUAAAGCAGUUGUGUGGAGGAUUUAUUUUUUAUGUAAUUUUAAAUACUGGUCCCUGGGAAGUCGCAUAACGGAAGGAAACACAUGACCACAGCUUUGUUUUUAUACUUUCAAUUAAAGCCACUCUUCUACCGUCCCUGCCUCUUCAACUGGUACAUUAUUACAUACUGCAUAGAGAAUUUUGAGGUGGGUUUAGCCACC